GAGGCUUUAGCUGUAGUGGGGGAAGGGGUCGCUAAAGUUGACGGAACCGCCAUCUUGAAAAGUGCCCUCCGAUGAUCUACCUUUUCGCGCCUGUCAGAAUCAGUUUUAAACGCUUUAUUUUCCUUGCUGGAAUUUCGUGUUUUGCUAGUUUUCGUUUUGUUAAGGCCUGGGACUGACGGCAAGAUAAGCUACAUGCUGGAGACUCGCUGUUUACCGUUGUCUAUCGGUGUGUGCUGUUGAACUGCUGUAUGUGUGCUUUGUCAGUCAGUCCAUCACCGCUCUCUGCCUGCCUGUCCAUCCGGCUCGCCUGGAAUGGGCCACAACUCCCAAAGACUAGAACACACCUCUUUUUAACCUGAGCUCCGCCGUCUGGACUCCCAGCCAACAUGUUUUGGAAAUUUGACCUCCACACCACAUCCCACAUUGACACGCUGUUGGAGAAGGAGGAUGUGACGCUGACAGAGGUGAUGGACGAGGACGAUGUCCUGCAGGAGUGCAAGGCCCAGAACCACAAGCUGGUUGACUUCCUGCUGAGACCACAGUGCAUGGAAGACCUGGUGACCUUCAUCACACAGGAACCCGAUACUGAUGUUGAGGAGAAAGUUAAAUACAAGUAUCCCAACAUCUCUUGUGAGCUGCUUACGUCAGAUGUGGGACAGAUCAACGACAGACUGGGAGAAGAUGAAAAACUGCUGAUGAAACUCUACAGCUUCCUCCAGAAUGAGCCGCCGCUGAACCCGCUCCUGGCCAGCUUUUUCUCCAAGGUGCUGUCCAUUCUCAUAGGACGCAAACCUGAACAGAUAGUGGAUUUUCUGCGGAAGCGGGAGGACUUUGUAGACCUGAUGAUCAAACACAUCGGGACAUCUGCCAUCAUGGACCUGCUGCUCAGAAUGCUCACCUGCAUCGAACCACAACAGCUCCGGCAGGACGUUCUCAAUUGGCUGAAUGAGGAGAAGGUGAUUCAGAGACUGGUGGACAUGGUACAACCUUCUCAAGAUGAGGAUAGGCACUCCAAUGCCUCGCAGUCUCUGUGUGAGAUCAUCAGACUGAGCAGAGACCAGAUGUUCCAGGUCCAGGGCUCCUCAGAUCCAGACCCACUCCUGGCAACACUUGAAAAGCAGGAGACGGUGGAGCAGCUGUUGUCCAACAUCUUUGAGAAGGAGAAGAAUGAGUCUGCAAUCGUCAGUGUUAUCCAGAUCCUCCUCACAUUGUUUGAAACGAGGAGACCAGCGUUUGAGGGUCAUAUGGAUUGCCCCCCAGGGAUGUCCCACCCUUCAUUCUCAGUCAACCACAGCAUCCUGGAAGCUGUGAGACCCCGACUCAAAGACUUUCACCAGCUGCUACUGGAACCCCCAAAGGCGAAUCUGAUGAAGACAACGUGGGGGGUGCUGGACCCCCCUGUGGGCAACACCAGGCUCAACGUGGUCAGACUGGUGGCCAGUCUGCUGCAGAGCAACACUCACAGCAUUAACACAGAACUCAUUAACCUCAACACACUGGGAAUAAUACUAGAUAUGUAUUUCAAAUACAUCUGGAACAACUUCCUCCACAUUCAAGUGGAGAUCUGUACAGCCAUGAUUCUGGCUAUGCCCCCCGCCCCCACCGAGACCCAGCCAGACACAGAGCAGGACACUGCAAGGGAGAGCAUCCUCAUCAAACACCUGUUUCAAAAGUGCCAGUUUAUACAGAGAAUUGUAGAAGCCUGGAGCUCCAACGAGAAAGAUCAGGCAGAAGGUGGUCGUCGACGAGGAUACAUGGGCCACCUCACCAGAAUAGCCAACUCUAUAGUUCAUAACUGUGACAAAGGCCCUAACGGUCCACAGAUACAACAGCUCAUCUCUGAGCUGCCAGCAGAAGACCGAGACAAAUGGGAGGCCUUUAUUUCUGGGCAGCUGUCUGACACAAACAAGAGAAACACUGUGGACCUGGUGAAUACACACCACAUCCAUUCUUCCAGUGAUGAUGAGGUGGACUUUAAAGACAGCGGCUUUCACCAGGACUCUUCUCUACAACAAGCCUUUUCUGAUUAUCAGAUGCAACAAAUGACGUCCAAUUUUAUUGAGCAGUUCGGCUUCAAUGACGAAGAGUUUGCUGAUCAGGACGAUGUUGUGGAUAUUCCGUUUGAUAGAAUAUCAGACAUCAAUUUUUCACUGAAUACAAAUGAAAGUGCAAAUAUAGCUUUGUUUGAGGCACGCUGUAAGGAGAAAAUCCAGCAGUUUGAAGACGCUGGUUCAGACGAGGAGGAUAUCUGGGAUGAAAAAGAUGUCACCUUUGCACCAGAGGCACAGAGACGCCCCAGGAGCUCGGGCAGCACGGACAGCGAGGAAAGUACAGACUCAGAGGAGGAGGAUGUGAAGAGAGAUCCGUUCGAAGCUGCCAACCCCAGCACCGACGACAGAAUGGAAGUCGACACAGGGCCAGUGUGGACGGCCAACUUUGAUGACAUCCCCAUGGACACAGGUACAUCCACUGCUCCAGCCACCAGCCCUAACAACCCUGCUGCCUCCUCUCCUUUGGCCUCCCCCUCCUCUUCCACAGAAGACCUCCCUGAGACCUCAUGGAGCUCCCCCCCUCCCGCCACCUCCAACGCUGAAACAGGCUGGGCCGAUUUCUCCAACUUCACCCCCGUCAGCCCCAAAGACCCUCUGAGGUGCAACUCUCCUGUUGCUAUGGAAACCAGCCUAGAGACAAUGGACCCUCUGGGAGUCAAUGCACCCACACAGUCUGAAGAUUAUGAUGGCUGGUUGGGUAACAAUGAGGCUUCCCCCUCCUCCAACUCACCUAAGCAUUGUGGGAAAUCUAAAGCAGAAGAGGAAACGGCCUCCUGUGAGCAGCGCAGCAUCACAGAGACGGUCAUCAACGGCUCCAUGAAAGAAACGGUCAGCCUCACUGUGGACGCCAAGACUGAGACUGCCGUUUUCAAGAGAGUUUUGAAAUCUUAUCGUGAUGAAGAGAAGAGUGCUUCUCCAGAGAAAUACUCAGUAGGGGAGUGUGUGGAUUCGGAGAGAACGGGCGUGAACAGCUCAGCCACAGCCAGCUGUCCCAAAACAGGCAGUGAGAAGCUACCAAACGGUCCUCUGGAGGAAAUGUCGGCCAGCGAGGAGGCCAAGAAUUGAAUGAGAACUUAAAUGCAACAAACUGAGGAACACUGGAUACUGAACUGCACGAAGAGUGAACACAACAGAAACUAACACAGCAGAACCAGACUGGACCAGAGUGCCGUGUCCUCAGAGCCAUCUGUGAACGGGCCGGCGUGAGGGGGAGCCGAACGCCGGCCAGUGUCCAGCCUGUUCUGCCAUGCAGGGCCCCCCCCCCCCUCCUGCCAGCGGUCGGCCACUGCUCAGAGCUGCACCAAUCACACGCCCCCACCAGGACCAGCAAUACUCCCAUUGGCUCAACACUGACGAGACAGAAGACAGGUGUACAGACACACGAUGAACUGAAAAGCAAAACGAGAGACAUACUCAAAAGGAUACAGAAUACAUUUUUUUCUGCAUUUGUUUAUAUACUAUUGUUCUUAUGAGGUGAUGUGCGACUGAUAUCUUGCCACUCAAAAAUGAAAUAGUAAUGUUGCUAUAGUUAAAGAAAUGAUUGUAUGAAUAAAAAUAUUUUAUAAAAAGAAAAAUGUAUACAGAAACAUAAGAUGAAUUGCCACAGAAACAGGACUAGCUGGUUGGUGUCUCACCCACUCACCCAGCUGUUGUUACUGCGCGUUUCUGUUAUCCUGCUAACUGAAUACAACAGUUGCUAUAUUUAAAUUCCCACGCACCAUUGGUCUGUGUCUCUGAGCAGAGCUGCUCUUCCAAUUGAAACACAUUUUUAGAAACAGUUUUAUUUUGCUGCAGGUAUGAUUUGUAAAUGUUUUUCUCUUGUAUUCUUCUCCAUUGAGUAAGAUUUGUCACGCUUUUUGGUAUAAUUAUUUUUCAUUUAUUAUAGGAGUAAGAUAAUGGUUGUUUUGUUACCAAGGAGCCAUGCCAACACACCUCUCCCCUUCUACAGGCUGCAUUCGUGCUAACCGGGUUCCUACCUCGCAGCUACAAGACUAAACGUCGUCACCACGGCAGAAACACAGCUGGAAAUCUAUUCUUGUUUUCCUAGAACCUCUUUUUUUUUUUAAAUCUUUUUUUCUAGACUAGUGGUUCUCAACUGAGAGCUUUGAUUUGAGGUAGCUACAGCUUUUAACAGAACUUGGAAGGUGAGGGAAACUUGGCUGUUAAAGGCUUACUUGGCACAAAUAAAAUAAUUUAGCAAAUGAAGAAAUGACCCGCCUCCUGGAGCUGCUGUAGGUGUAACUCAGUCACUUUAGGAUGUUAUUAAGAAAACUAAGUUACAAUCAUACAUUUGCUGAUAUUGUCUAUUGAUCAAGCUCCAACCAGAGGUGUUUAUUCUUAAUCUGUGUUCAGACUGACAGCAGCACUGUUAGAAAACGCAGCAGCUACCUCUACAAGCUGCUGUUGAAAAUAUGAUGUUAACCAAUCAAAUCAGUGUGCACAGUCCUGGUGAAGAAAUUAAAGUGAAUGGGGAAAUUGUUUAAAUGCUAGUUGUUGAUUGCGGAAGGAUAGGAUGAUAAAUUGAUCACAAUAUGAUGUGCAUUCUUUUAUGAGCCUUUACUCGUUACUUUGUCAGCAGUAACUAAAGCAAUACCUCCAUCAGACCUUGUUUUUGUCUGAGGUAUAACCUAGGAAGUUUGACUAUUAAUGCUAUUGUCAGUCUGAAUGCAUCCUCCACUUUUUUUUCUUUGAAUGAACCCCUUUUUUUUUUUUUAAACUCUGCCUUCAUGAGGCGGUGGAUUUAUGAAUUUCAAACAAACAUAAAAACCAGCCGUGUUAGAGUCCGGACAUAUUGUAGUUGCUCUGUGUGUUUAUGGCCUUUUAGCUAAGGGUUGGUCUUAACCAAUCCUCCAGAAAUAUGUGUAGCUUGUCAGCCGCCAGAUGCUUAACUUUAUUUUCUUAACAUGAUAAAUAGAGGACCAACUUUUGUGAUGGGCCAAUUUUUUGUCUACUGAUUAAAUAUUGAACAUCUGGAUUGGCAGUGCUGAUGCUGAAUAUCCGUCCUCAUGGCACUGAGCCUUAAACAGAGCAUUGCAUCUACCUGCAGCUGCCAUUGAAAUGGUGUCUUUGCUGCUAGAAAACACACUCCUCUGCAGCCUUCCUCCUUCCCAUGGAACCACUUUGAUUCCCCUCACCAAAUGUUUUUUCUUCAUCUUGGCAACAAAUGAUUCACUAUUUCAUGAUGAUGGUACAACCCACUUUUUUGUCAGAUUAUUAAUUAAAUGUCAUCUUAAUUUCUGAA